rnacentral:hammerhead_ribozyme from 1 species
AUCCAGCUGACGAGUCCCAAAUAGAACGUGCUGGAU